CAGUAGCCACGGGAAUACGUAGGGUGCAAGCGUUGUCCGGAAUUAUUGGGCGUAAAGAGCACGUAGGCGGCUCGUCGCGUCGGCUGUGAAAACCUGGGGCUCAACCCCGGGCCUGCAGCCGAUACGGGCGAGCUAGAAUUCGGUAGGGGAGACUGGAAUUCCUGGUGUAGCGGUGAAAUGCGCAGAUAUCAGGAGGAACACCGGUGGCGAAGGCGGGUCUCUGGGCCGAUAUUGACGCUGAGGAGCGAAAGCGUGGGGAGCGAACAGGAUUAGAUACCCCAGUAGUCCCUGUCUCUUAUAC
rnacentral:rRNA from 1 species